GUUUCUGUAGUUGAGAUAGUUUCAACGAUGGUUUUUCAAGCCAUAGACCUUGGAGAAAAGCCAAGCAGAAACUG
rnacentral:tRNA from 1 species